rnacentral:rRNA from 1 species
AUUGAACGCUGGCGGCAGGCCUAACACAUGCAAGUCGAACGAGUGGCGGACGGGUGAGUAAUGUCUGGGAAACUGCCUGAUGGGGGGGGAUAACUACUGGAAACAGUAGCUAAUAACGCAUACCCUUGGAUGUCCCCAGAUGGGUUUAGCUAGUAGGUGGGGUAAAGGCUCACCUAGGCGACGAUCCCUAGCUGGUCUGAGAGGUUGAAAAGCAACACUGGAACUGAGACAAGGUCCAGACGCCUAAGGGAGGCAGCAGUGGGGAAUAGUGCACAAUGGGCGCAAUCCUGAGGCAGCCAGGCCGCGUGUAUGAAGAAGGCCAGCGGGUUGUAAAGUACUUUCAGCGGGGAGGCGUUACCCGCAGAAGAAGGACCGGCUAACUCCGUGCCAGCAGCCGCGGUAAUAC